GCCGGGCAUGGUGGCGCAUGCCUGUAAUCCCAGCUACUCGGGAGGCUGAGACAGGGAAUUGCUUGAACCCUGGAGGCCGAGGUCGCAGUGAGCUAAGAUCAUGCCAUCGCACUCCAGCCUGGGCAAGGAGAGAAACUCAAAACCAAAAAAAAAAAAAAAAAGAAUCUUCCUGUUGUAGAGUUGAUUUUUUUUUUUUUUUUAAGAGACGGAGUCUCACUCUGUCACCCAAGCUGGAGCGCAGUGGCGUGAUCUCAGCUCACUGCAACCUCUGCCUCCCGGGUUCAAGCGAUUCUACUGCCUCAG
rnacentral:SRP_RNA from 1 species